UGCCUCCCCUCCCUCACCCCAAACCACCUCCUUGUCCUUCUCCAAUCUCGAAUGAUGUAGAUCCUGCGGCGGCGCUAGAUUUGCACCGGCGGGAUUUGGAAUUGAAGAUCCUGGGCUUGAGUUCCUGCUCGAUGCUGCCUAUAGCUUUCAGGUUCCCACUACAGGAGGAGUUUUGCUGGGUCUGGGUGCGGCCAGCAGGUCGGCUGCGCUGACCCGGAGAGGGCACAGGUGGGGGUUCGUCGAUGACCAGAUGCAUCUCCAACUCUGUCGGCACAAUCAACCGACGGGGUCAACCCGGAGGCCCAUGGUUGGACAAAAAGACCAGAACAGAUGUAUGGAGGUGGCAAUCAGCAAAGUUUAUCCGGACAGUGUGCACUGGUGGUGCAAAUGGCAUGUGCUGAAGAAGGCAAAGGAGCGUUUGGUCCCCUGUACAUGAAGAAGAGAGAGUUCCAAGCUGAAUUCUACAAAGUGGUGAACCACAUGUUAAAUGAAGAUGAGUUCGAGACAACGUGGGGUAUGCUGCUUAAUAAGUACAACCUGAAGAAGCACCCUUACAUGACCCAGAUCUACGAAAUAAGAAGAAAAUGGCCAAAAACAUACUUCAAGGAGUUUUUUUUUGCACCAAGAUGACAUGCAAAGAACGCAGCAAGAGCGUGAACUGCAUGUUGAAGAAGCACAUGCCUCCUGCUCGCCCGAUGCACACCUUUGUGAGGCAGUACAUGAGGUUGUUGUUUGACCGCGAGCGCGAGGAAAGCUACGAGGAUAAGAGGAUGAUGAUCGUAACUCCACUAUGUUUCUUUGCAUAGUUUUAGUGACAACCACCCAGAUCACCUACCCGCCGCACCGCCACCUCGUGUAUUUAUCUGGUUUCCAUCUUUUAAAAUUUACUUCUGUUUGACAGGGUGAAGUUGUUAGGAGAACGAAUUUGGCAAUUGAGAGACACGCAAGCAAGAUUUACACGAGGGCUAUGUUCUAGGAGUUUGGUUACCUACUAACUAAAGGCACGACGUACAAUGUCACGGAGGUGGAGAAGAUGAUGAAGUAUGUCACAACGCACAACGAAGAGGUGAAGAGAGGAAAAUGGAACAGAGUUGUGUACGAGGUUACAGUAAACGAGGACCACUUGGAGUUUAAGUGCGUGUGUGGACAAUUUGAACACACCAGAAUGUUAUGAUGCCACGUCUUAAGGGUCAUGGAUGUACUUCAUUUGAAGGAGAUUCUUGUGAAACAAUGGACCAAGGACGCAAGAGACAUUCUGCCCCAGCACCUGACUCAAUACCAGAAGGACCACUCUGUUAACAUGUUUUCAUGUGCAGGCAUUCGACAUUAUACAUGAAAGCUUUGGAAGUCAGUCGAGAUGGGAGAUGCGAGUGCAGAAUCAUUCGAGCACAUGUUAGCUGGUCUUGAUGCUUUGCUAUUGAUGGCCACAAGCAAACAACCUGUCUCGAAAAAGGGAAUGCACCCAAGAAACCAUGCCAGCCGGGGAAAUGCAAG